rnacentral:lncRNA from 1 species
AAAUGGCCUUAUCCCAUCCUGAACCUAGUUCAGAUUUUCUCUGCUUUGAGCUGCCAGUGUAGUGAUGAGACUUGGACAAUCUUGGGAGCAAUGAAUUAAUGGAGCCAACCUUGAGAGAGCUCCCAGUGACUUAAGGCAGAUGAAGCUAGUCAUAAGACAGUGAGCUGUCCAUUGUCCGUCUUCUCCUUUGCAUUAUUUUCUCUGGAGAAACCAGCUGUUGUGUUAUAAAGACAUUCAAGCAGCCCUACAGAGAGGUCCAGUGGCAAAGGUUAGGUCCCUCAUGCAACAACCAUGUGAACAUAGCAGCCAUAUGUCUUAGAAAGUGAUCCCUAAAAAGCAGUAGUGCUCUCAGAUGCCUGUACACCCCUGCUGUGCAUGCCUCAUGGGAGAGCCUGAGGGCCUGAGCAGCUCACCAAAGAGGAAAAGGAACCGUAAAGACCUUACUUUAAGUGAGGCUGUGGCAUUUGGGGCCAUUUGUUACACAGCACAGAGAACAGGUGUGUGUCCUGCUUCCUGCGCUUUUCCUCAGCUCUCACCUGCCACACCCACAGGUUUCUGUCGGACUUUAUUUUGUCUCUGUGCCAAAACUGCAGUUUCCAUUAUUUUGCCUUUGUAGUGGAUCCUUAUGCCUUACAGACUCACCGCUUCAAAACUGGCAGUAACUGCAGACUUCUAUGCUUCCAUUGAUGUUUUGUUUUGUUUUGAGGUAGUUUUAUUAAGUAGCCCAAGCUGCUUUCAAACUUGAUAACCACUUGCCUCUGCCUCCCAAGUGCUUCCGUUACAGUAUACACAUUCCUGUCUUUGGUUGUUUUUGUUUUGAGACAAUCUCAACGCAGAGUCCUGCAUAGCCUUACACUCUGUAUAGACCUGCACUGUGGCUCUGCUUCGCGUCUACCUCCUGUCUCCUGAUUGGAUGAACUUACGUUUCUCCUCUGUACUUUCUAUGAGAGUUAGGUCUAGGCCAUUCUCACAGACGCAAGUUUAAGCGGCCCUUGCACCUCAGCCUCUAGUAGUUGGGCCUUACAGUUCCAUUUAAAUUCUAUAUGUACAUAUGAACACUCAUAAACACAUACACACAAAAACCUCUUAGCUGGGCAAGGUGGCACAGGCUUUUAACCCUAGUACUUAGGAAUCAGAGGCAGGUAGAGCUCUAAGUUUGAGGCUAACCUGGUCUACAGAGUGAGGUCUAGGACAGCCUGGGAUACAUGGAGAAACCUAUCUGUCUUUUAAAAAAAAAAUAAGUCUCAAAACCAAUUUCUGGAAAUUGUCUUAGACUGUGGCGUUAGAGACAGGCAUUCCUCUAACAUGUUUCUAAAGGGACAUUUCAACAUGUGGGACGCUGAGACAGGAGGAUUGUUUUUUGUUCUGUUUGUUUUUGAGACAGGUCUCACUGUAGAUCAGGCUGGUCUCAAAUCCAUGACAUCCUCCUGCAUCCACUUCCCAAGUGCUGGAUUAGAGGCGUGUGUCACCGAGACAGCCGAGGCAAAGGACUGUCCACUCAAGUCAUUUAGUAAGGCUGUCUCAGUAUUUUAAAAGUUAAUUUUUUAUUUUUAAAAAUGGUGCAGAGUAGCUGGGUGGUGGUAGCGCACACCUUUAAUCCCAGUACUUGAGAGGCAGAGGCAGGCAGAGUUUGAGGCCAGCCUGAUCUACAAAGUGAGUUCCAGGACAGCCAGGACUACAUAGCCUCACACUCUAUAUAGACCUACUCUCUUUCUACUAAGAGAAACCCUGUCUCGAACCCCCCCCCCCCCC